CGGCUUUACCUGAAGACGGUGCGCUAACUGCAAGGAGGCAGCCGGCCACGGUAGGGUCAGCGACUGGGGUGAAGUCGUAACAAGGUAGCCGUAGGUGAACCUGCAGAAGGAUCA
rnacentral:rRNA from 1 species